rnacentral:rRNA from 1 species
UACGAAGGGGGCUAGCGUUGCUCGGAAUUACUGGGCGUAAAGGGCGCGUAGGCGGAUAGUUUAGUCAGAGGUGAAAGCCCAGGGCUCAACCUUGGAAUUGCCUUUGAUACUGGCUAUCUUGAGUUCGGGAGAGGUGAGUGGAAUGCCGAGUGUAGAGGUGAAAUUCGUAGAUAUUAGGAAGAACACCAGUGGCGAAGGCGGCUCACUGGCCCGGUACUGACGCUGAGGCGCGAAAGCGUGGGGAGCAAACGGG